UGCUUGGGAAUAUGCCUUGAGGUGGGGACGAACAGUUGGAAACGAACUGCUAAUACCGCAUAAUGUCUACGGACCAAAGAAGGGGGACCGUUCGGGCCGUCUUGCCUUUAGUAUUAGCCCAACGUGAGAUUAGCUAGUAGGUGGGGUAAGUGGCUCACCUAGGCGACGAUCUCUAGCUGGUUUGUAGAGGAUGAUCAGCCACACUGGGACUGAGACACGGCCCACGACUCCUACGGGAGGCAGCAGUGGGGAAUAUUGCACAAUGGGCGAAAGCCUGAUGCAGCCAUGCCGCGUGUGUGA
rnacentral:rRNA from 1 species